rnacentral:rRNA from 1 species
GACGAACGCUGGCGGCGUGCUUAACACAUACAAGUCGAACGGUGAAAGCGGAGCUUGCUCCGCUGGAUCAGUGGCGAACGGGUGAGUAACACGUGGGCAACCUGCCCUUCACUUCGGGAUAACUCCGGGAAACCGGGGCUAAUACCGGAUAUGACCUCUGCGGGCAUCCGCGGAGGUGGAAAGUUUUUCGGUGAAGGAUGGGCCCGCGGCCUAUCAGCUUGUUGGUGAGGUAGUGGCUCACCAAGGCGACCACGGGUAGCCGGCCUGAGAGGGCGGCCGGCCAAAAUGGGACAAAGAAACGGCCCAGACUGCGUCGGGGGGAAGCAGUGGGGAGUAUUGCGGGAUGGGAGAAAGCCUGACGCAGCAACGCCGCGUGCGGGAUGACGGCCUGCGGGUUGUAAACCGCUUUCAGCAGGGAAGAGGCCGCAAGGGGACGGUAGCUGUAGAAGAAGCACCGGCUAACUACGUGCCAGCGGCCGCCGUAA